UUGUCUUUAAUGGCUUGUAAAUGUACCUAAGUAGUCUCAUCCUCACAAUCUUCCUAUUGAUAAUGUAUCAGUAGAAGAAUAUGUUAGAAAAUGUCUAUCAUAAAGAGGACAACACUUUUAAUGUUAUAAUUCUUCAAUUAAAAAUUGUUGUAUGAAGAAAUAAGAAUUGCUUUGAACAACCCUUAGUCAAUGCAAACACUUAGUGCUUGUUUCUUUGUUACAUGAACAAGGAACUUGAGAAGUAAGCACAAGGGCAUGGACACUUUAUGUGCCAUGAUUCUUCACUUACAAAUUGUUGUAUGAAGAAAUGAGAGUUGCCUUGUACAACUCUUGAAAGUUUGUAAUUAUGUUUAGAACAUAAUGGUUGGUUGACAAAAAUAGUCCAUCAACAUGGACUUAUGAUGAUUUUGAAUCAUUGAGUGUUGAAGUGAUAAAUCACUUAACGAGACGGAAACUAGGCAAGGACUUCACCUUUGUGUGCCUAUCCUUAUGGUUCACUAAGUUUAUUGUAAACUAUAUGGUGAACAAUAACCACACGCUCUCCAAAUUGUUUGAUGUGUAUAACACAAUUGAAAUAAGUUUCAAGAGAGAUAGUGGGAGUUUAGGGACCAUGACUAUUGUAGUCAAAGGAGAAGUCAAAUGAAGAAGAUUAAAUUAACUCCAAGGGAACAAACUUUCUUUAUGAAAGGAUGGACAUUGGAAGGGGUAUUUGCAAGAAAUGUCUUGCAAGUGUCAAGAACACACCUUUCGAAGAUGUUGUAAAUUGUUCUUGAAAAGUUCAAAACAGUUGGUUCUUCUACUUGAAUGCUUGAUUCCGUAUUAGUAACUAUGUUUUACAAUCGUUGUAAAAGUGUGACUAAUAAGAAGUAGAAGAUAUAUGAGAGAAGAAAAAGGUGCUUCACAUUCGGAACGUGAAUAAAAUAAAGAUCUCUGCGAAAGCAGAUAGUACUUACUUCCUCAUAUGAACUACCAAAGAAAUUGGAAAAACCAAAGAUUGUCUUUACAUUCCAAUUUUAAGGAACUAAAUUCCGUCACUAUGUGAAAUGGAUAAAUGUUUUGUUUGACAAAACAUUGUUCUUUAUUAAUCAAUGAUUGGAUUAUGGUAAUCUAAUUGAUUGUCUCUGUAGUAGAGAUAAUAUGGUGGUGUUAACUGUUUAGAAUAUAAUGAUGCUUAAAACCCAAAAGGUUGCAAGGUAGUGACUAAUCCCAACUAAGUUGUGAUACCUCUAAAACAUAAGUUACGAGUUGGUGAUAGAUGGAUGCUUUGGAUCGUUAGAUCCGGAUCCAAUACCUUCUUGUUAAAAUUGUAUAGAGGCGAAAUGUUUGAAUCUUUAUUCUUUUGGAAAGAAGAAAGAAUCACAAAGUUGUUGAGGUUAAUUCACUUAGAUGUUAGUGGCACUUGUCCACAACAUAAUACUACUCAUGUUGGAUGACAUUCACCGAAGAUCACUCUCGGUUGGACUAUAGUUUAUUUUGAAUAAACACAAGUCCGAAUACUUUGCAAAAGGUUUCAAAGAAUUCAAGUAAUGUAAGUUGAUGAGUAAGACAUCUAAAGUAUUUACCUCCUUAGAUUUGAUCCAAGGAAAGGUAACACUUUAGAUGAGUUUCCUUGAAAGAUAUCAAGGAAAAUAGCAUCAUAAGAUAAUGAAUUUCUACAUAAGGAGAAGAACGAACUUAAAUAAGAUUUAGUUCGUUAGAUGUUAUCUAUUACCCACAUAUAGGAUAUAUACUUCUAAAACAAUAUGAUUGUCAAUUAGAAGAUCUUCCAAAUUUUUCAUGACUCCAUAAGAUGUAGUUGGAAAGAAAGACAAAUCUCAAGCAUGUUAAGAUUUGGGGUUGUGUGCUAAUAAGCAAUAUUUGUUUGAUAACAAUCUUGUGGGAUAUCCUUAAAUUAACUUUUGGAUAUCACUUCUAUAAAUCAACUAACAAAUGUUGUUUUGUUGGGUAGUUCAUUGUAAUCCUACAAUGUGAUUUGCCUAAGAGCAAAUGAACGAGAGAUAGAACUCAAAGAAUGGGUUCUUUGAGAGACAAGAAAGUAAUCAACAAAUAUAAACAACCUAAUUCCUAUACCAAAAGCUCCAAGGUAGUCGAGAAGGAUUUAUAAACCGUCUCAGUUGAAUGUUUGAACUUUAUGACUAUGUCAUAGAGUUACACCUCUUAAUUCGAAAGAAAUAAGAAUGAAAAUCCUUAUGACUACAUUGAGUGUAUAUAUAUGAUAUAUACUUAAGGAAAUGGUAAAGUACCAUUUGACCCGAAAUAAUGAAACCUUUAUAAGCUAAUUGGUAGCUUAAGGUGACUACAAUCAAAGAGAAUGGUUGACUUUGAAGAGACCAUCUUUGAGAUAGUCUUGGUUUCAAUUAAUUCGAAGAUUGCUAGCUACAACUAAAUGGUGUUUCAAUGUUUGGACAUAAUAUGGGUUUCCGAAACCAUUAUUAAGAUAGUCUUAAUAAUAUAUGUCUAAAACUAUGAAUCACAAGACAUGUAAGUUGUAGAGAUCCAUCCAUCAUGAAUCUUAGCAAGCUAGUGGGAACUAUAAGCGUCUUAUGAGAGAAAGGUCAAACGUUUGAUUUCUCAUAAAGAUGUAAAUGAAUCUUUUGUUUACUAGGUUUACAAAAGAUUAGUGGGAGUUAAUCAUAUUCCUAAAUUUGUAUAUAUAUAUAUAUAAAUAUAUAUGUGAUAUAUAUGAAUGUAUAUAUGAUAUAUUAAUUUUGGAAAUGAAAAGAAUAUUUCUUCGUUAAAGUUAUGACUUUAAACAUUAUAUGAAGAUAGAAUGUAUAUGGGAGAUAUAGUCUAUAUACAUGGGAUGGAAAUCUAUAAUGAUAUAUUUCAUGAUAUAAUUGGAUUAUAUUAAUCCCUAAUAAUAGACAAUGGAUGCUAGGAAGUUUCUCAUAUGAUGAUAAACUUCAAUUAGAAGGACAACUCUAGUGAGACUAAAAAGUUGCUCUUCUCAAAGAGAACGUACUCUUUGACUCCCAAAGAAAUAAUGCGUAAAUAGAAUCCUUUAUGCAUACGCACAAAUGUGAUUUAUGUAUUUCAUAUUGUAUGAAAAACAUUGAUAUGAGUUGUACCUAGAACGGUACAAGACGAUAUCAGUGCAAGCCCAGGAUCAGAACCAUGGCAACUGUCAAGUGAGUCCUUAAGUAUUUAAGAAAUACUAAAGGAUAGAUUCCUCAAAGAAUGAGGAAGAAUUAGAGUAACGUAAAGGAAGUGUAAAUGUAUUAGAUUAUGAAUCUAAUCCAUCAUUGGAUGUUUCUUCAUUAUGAAUGAAGAGAUAAACGGAUCUCUUUAUUAUGACUAAAGAGAUAUUUGGAUGGAAACAUUAAAGUAAUGACUUUAGUGUGUUCCAUUAUGAAUGCAAAAUAUAUUGCCAUAUAGAAGUUUACAACAAUGUUGUUUGGAUGAGAAAGUUCAUUUAUGAACUCUCUAUUCGGUUCCAACCAGAAAGUGUAUGACACUAAUGGGGCGAUAGCUCAAGCCAGGGAAUCAAGGUCUCAUCAAGGUCCGAACUCAAAUGAGAGACUGAACCGCAUGAUUAAGAAUCAUGUAUAAUGGUGACGUCGUUAUUCUCAAGGUUGCUUCUAUGGAUAACAUAUAGAUAUCCAUUGCCUAGGCCUACUACUCAGCCAUUUAUGAAAUGACUACAGAAGAGGUAUCAUUAAUGAUGAACAAGCUGAUUGGCUCUAGUGCAAGUGGGAGAUUGUUGGAAAUGUGCCCUAAAGCCAAUCAUAUGAUGAUACUUUACGGACAUUUUACAUGUUAAACUAAUCUAGUUUAAAUAUAACGGGCAAAUAUUAUUGUUUGAGCCGUCUCAUAUAAAUGUUAUAUGCUUAAACGAUAAAGUCCAAGGAAUAUGUGAUUGGGAGAAUGCAAUCUAAUGAAGUUAGAUUCAUGAGACCAUUCUUUCGUAGACACAUCCUAAAUGUUCCUGAUCAUAGGAUUGUCAAUUGGGCAUUGACGGUCCGUCAAGAUCGGUACGUGCUAUGUCUUCUCUUAGGGAGAGUGACUAGUCUCGAGUCAUUGGUGUGUGUGACAUCAAGACAAGUACGUAGGUGCUCAGUAGAGAAUGAGUUCACUGAACGCGAUCAACGAAGAGUUCUUAUACUCAUGUCACAUGAGAACUCAUGGUUGGGAUAAUGCAAAGUAGUCCUUUGACCUGAGGCAUCACAGUUGUCUUGUGGUUAAGUACUUGAUCUUUGAUUAUGUCAAACGUCAUUCCAUUGGAGUGUCCACGGCAUCGUUGGGGUUAAGCCACUUAGCCAUGGAGGCAAGUGAAUGCGCAACAAGGGAUCUCUAACCUUCAAACCGUUUGAGGGAGAAUACUCUAUGAUAUGAUUUAGAACCUCUGGCCAGAGUAUGAAUGAGAUUUAGGAAUGCGUUCCAAAUCACAUUCAAGGUAAUCAUAUAAGCACACGAAU
rnacentral:lncRNA from 1 species